rnacentral:rRNA from 1 species
AGUUCAAGGCACUUUAUGGUCAAGUUACUAAGGGUUGACGGUGGAUGCCUAGGCGCAGAGGGGCGAUGAAGGACGUGGCAAGCUGCGAAAGGCUUCGGGGAGUGGCAAGCACACGCUGAUCCGGAGAUGUCCGAAUGGGGAAACCUGGCAGGGGUCAUGCCCUGUCACCGCCGCCUGAAUACAUAGGGCGGAGGGAGCUAACCGAGGGAAGUGAACCAUCUCAGUACCUCGAGGAAGAGAAAACAAGAGUGAUUCCGUCAGUAGCGGCGAGCGAACGCGGAACAGCCCAAACCGGAGUGGCUUCGGUCACACCGGGGUUGUGGGGCUCGGCAACACGGAGUUACAAACCGACAGGUUAGUCGAAGUGCCUGGAAAGGCACGCCACAGCGGGUGAUAGCCCCGUAGGCGAAAAUCUGGAGGCUCCUGCCGAGUACCCGAGUACCACGGGGCACGAGAAACCCCGUGGGAAUCUGGGGGGACCAUCCUCCAAGGCUAAAUACUACUCUGCGACCGAUAGUGCACUAGUACCGUGAGGGAAAGGUGAAAAGAACCCCUAUUAGGGGAGUGAAACAGUACCUGAAACCGUCAAUCUACAAGCAGUGGAAGGACCAUGUCGGGUUUCGGCCCGGAAAGUCCGACCACGUGCCUUUUGCAUAAUGAGCCGGCUAGU